rnacentral:rRNA from 1 species
UUCUGGCUCAGGAUGAACGCUGGCGGCGUGCUUAACACAUGCAAGUCGAACGAGGCACCUUGCAGAAGUUUCGGAUGGAAGCGGAGGCGACCGAGUGGCGGACGGGUGAGUAACGCGUGGGGAACCUGCCCCAUUCCGGGGGAUACCAGUUGGAAACGACUGUUAAUACCGCAUAAGCGCACGGAAGGACAUCCUUUUGUGUGAAAAACUGAGGUGGAAUGGGAUGGCCCCCGCGUCUGAUUAGCCAGUUGGCAGGGUAACGGCCUACCAAAGCGACGAUCAGUAGCCGGCCUGAGAGGGCGACCGGCCACAUUGGGACUGAGACACGGCCCAAACUCCUACGGGAGGCAGCAGUGGGGAAUAUUGCACAAUGGGGGAAACCCUGAUGCAGCGACGCCCGCGUGAGUGAAGAAGUAUUUCGGUAUGUAAAGCUCUAUCAGCAGGGAAGAAGAUGACGGUACCUGCACAAGAAGCCCCAGCUAACUACGUGCCAGCCGCAGC